CAUGCAAGUCGAGGGGCAGCAUAAAUUACUUGUAAUUUGAUGGCGACCGGCGAACGGGUGCGUAACGCGUAUGCAACUUACCUUUUACUAGAGAAUAGCCAAGAGAAAUUUUGAUUAAUGCUCUAUGUUCUUAUUAACUCGCAUGAGUUAAUAAGCAAAGCUCCGGCGGUAAAAGAUGGGCAUGCGUCCUAUUAGCUUGUAGGUGAGGUAAUGGCUCACCUAAGCUCCGAUAGGUAGGGGUCCUGAGAGGGAGAUCCCCCACACUGGUACUGAGACACGGACCAGACUUCUACGGAAGGCAGCAGUAAGGAAUAUUGGACAAUGGAGGCAACUCUGAUCCAGCCAUGCCGCGUGAAGGAAGACGGCCUUAUGGGUUGUAAACUUCUUUUAUACAGGAAGAAACCUUUCCACGUGUGGAAAGCUGACGGUACUGUAAGAAUAAGGAUCGGCUAACUCCGUGCCAGCAGCCGCGGUAAUACGGAGGAUCCAAGCGUUAUCCGGAAUUAUUGGGUUUAAAGGGUCCGCAGGCUGUUUGUUAAGUCAGAGGUGAAAUCCUACCGCUCAACGGUAGAACUGCCUUUGAUACUGGCAAACUUGAGU
rnacentral:rRNA from 1 species